rnacentral:rRNA from 1 species
AGCGAACGCUGGCGGCAGGCCUAACACAUGCAAGUCGAACGGAUCCUUCGGGAUUAGUGGCGGACGGGUGAGUAACACGUGGGAACGUGCCCUUUGGUUCGGAACAACUCAGGGAAACUUGAGCUAAUACCGGAUGUGCCCUUCAGGGGAAAGAUUUAUCGCCAUUGGAGCGGCCCGCGUCUGAUUAGCUAGUUGGUGAGGUAACGGCCCACCAAGGCGACGAUCAGUAGCUGGUCUGAGAGGAUGAUCAGCCACACUGGGACUGAGACACGGCCCAGACUCCUACGGGAGGCAGCAGUGGGGAAUCUUGCGCAAUGGGCGAAAGCCUGACGCAGCCAUGCCGCGUGAAUGAUGAAGGUCUUAGGAUUGUAAAAUUCUUUCAGCGGGGACGAUAAUGACGGUACCCGCAGAAGAAGCUCCGGCUAACUUCGUG